GGGAAGUAAAAGUCGUAACAAGGUUUCCGUAGGUGAACCUGCGGAAGGAUCAUUACUGAAGUGAGUCUUCAUUCAUUGAAGCUUCUUCCCAUUGUGCUGGCUUUGACCGUAUGUAAUGUUGGGGAUUAAACAUGGUUCAAAAUUUAUUUUGGCCGUCCCCAACAAUUUAUUUCAUCCUUUAUAAAUUUGAACUGAACUCAUUUUGAGAUUACUUAAAAAAAUAAUCUUAUUAUACAACUUUCAACAACGGAUCUCUUGGUUCUCGCAUCGAUGAAGAACGCAGCGAAAUGCGAUACGUAAUGUGAAUUGCAGAAUUCAGUGAAUCAUCGAAUCUUUGAACGCACAUUGCACUCUAUGGUAUUCCGUAGAGUAUGCCUGUUUCAGUAUCAUGAACACCUCACUACUAUAACUUUGUUGUUAUAACAGUGGAUUUGGAAUGCGCUGGUGUUAGUCAGCCCUUCUAAAAUGGAGUUCUUGCACUGUUGAUUUGUUUUAACAGCAAUGUUGGCCUAAUAAGUUUCAGCAGCAAUGUUGAAAUCACUGGCUUUUUUUGCUUAGAAUCGGACAGUCUUGAUAUACAGAAUUUUUGAGGUGACUUUGUCUCCUCUUCAAAUUUUGAUCGAAAAUCAAGUAGGUUCCCCACUAUC
rnacentral:rRNA from 1 species